AUUGAACGCUGGCGGCAGGCCUAACACAUGCAAGUCGAGCGAGAAAGGUCUUCGGACUGAGUACAGCGGCGGACGGGUGAGUAAUGCGCAGGAAUCUACCUGGUAGUGGGGGGAUAACUCGGGGAAACUCGAACUAAUACCGCAUACGCCUACGGGGAAAGGACGGGGACCGUUCGGCCGUCGCGCUAUCAGGUGAGCCUGCGUAGGAUUAGCUUGUUGGUGAGGUAAAGGACUCACCAAGCGACGAUCCUUAGCUGGUCGUGAGAGGAUGAUCAGCCACACUGGAACUGAGACACGGUCCAGACUCCUAC
rnacentral:rRNA from 1 species